UACGUAGGGUGCGAGCGUUAAUCGGAAUUACUGGGCGUAAAGCGUGCGCAGGCGGUCUGUUAAGACCGAUGUGAAAUCCCCGGGCUUAACCUGGGAACUGCAUUGGUGACUGGCAGGCUUUGAGUGUGGCAGAGGGGGGUAGAAUUCCACGUGUAGCAGUGAAAUGCGUAGAGAUGUGGAGGAAUACCGAUGGCGAAGGCAGCCUCCUGGGUCGAUACUGACGCUCAUGCACGAAAGCGUGGGGAGCAAACAGG
rnacentral:rRNA from 1 species